rnacentral:rRNA from 1 species
AAUGAACGUUGGCGGCGUGGAUUGGGCAUGCAAGUCGUUCGCCCCGCAAGGGACGAGGCGCAAGGGUGAGUAAGGCGACGGCAACCAACCCCAGGGCCGGGCAUAGCCGCUCGAAAGGGCGGGUAAUUCCCGGCGAUCCCUCCGGAUGGCAUCAUCGGGCGGGUAAAAGUGUGAUUCCGCCCUGGGACGGGCCGUCGUGGUAUUAGGUUGUUGGCGGGGUAACGGCCCACCAAGCCGGCGAUGCCUACCGGGCGUGCGGGCGUGGCCCGGCACACUGGGACUGAGACACUGCCCAGACUCCUACGGGAGGCUGCAGUCGAGAAUCUUCGGCAAUGGGCGCAAGCCUGACCGAGCGACGCCGCGUGGGGGAUGAAGGCCCUCGGGUUGUAAACCCCUGUCGGGGGGGAACAAGGUCACGUGCAGAGCGUGGCUUGAGUGAUCCCCGGAGGAAGCACGGGCUAAGUUCGUGCCAGCAGCCGCCGUAACAC